UACGUAGGGGGCUAGCGUUGUCCGGAUUUAUUGGGCGUAAAGAGCGUGUAGGCGGCCAUGUAGGUCCGGUGUGAAAACUCGAGGCUUAACCUCGAGAUGUCAUCGGAAACCAUUUGGCUAGAGUCCGGAAGAGGAGAGUGGAAUUCCUGGUGUAGCGGUGAAAUGCGCAGAUAUCAGGAGGAACACCGGUGGCGAAGGCGGGUCUCUGGGCCGAUACUGACGCUGAGGCGCGAAAGCCAGGGGAGCAAACGGG
rnacentral:rRNA from 1 species